UACGGAGGGGGCUAGCGUUGUUCGGAAUUACUGGGCGUAAAGCGCACGUAGGCGGCCUGCUAAGUCGGAACGUGAAAUCCCCGGGCUCAACCCGGGAACUGCGUCCGAUACUGGUGGGCUUGAAUCCGGGAGAGGGAUGUGGAAUUCCAGGUGUAGCGGUGAAAUGCGUAGAUAUCUGGAGGAACACCGGUGGCGAAGGCGGCAUCCUGGACCGGUAUUGACGCUGAGGCGCGAAAGCCAGGGGAGCAAACGGG
rnacentral:rRNA from 1 species